UACGGAGGGAGCUAGCGUUGUUCGGAAUUACUGGGCGUAAAGCGCACGUAGGCGGCUUUGUAAGUAAGAGGUGAAAGCCUGGAGCUCAACUCCAGAAUAGCCUUUUAGACUGCAUCGCUUGAAUCCAGGAGAGGUGAGUGGAAUUCCGAGUGUAGAGGUGAAAUUCGUAGAUAUUCGGAAGAACACCAGUGGCGAAGGCGGCUCACUGGACUGGUAUUGACGCUGAGGUGCGAAAGCGUGGGGAGCAAACAGG
rnacentral:rRNA from 1 species